ACUGGCCUCCUCCUUCCCUCCCCUCCUCCAUGCUCCUGCCAAACCCUGCUGAUCUAUUCCUAUAAAAGCAGCCAUGUGGACCAACUCAGGGCCAUAAUCUCAUGGCUUGAAAGAAAUCAGGCUUCAAGCAAAAAAGAAGCUGUACACUAAGGGACAUUCUUCCCUCUCCAUGGCCCUGUUCAUGCUACCGUGAAAAACGAAGAGAUGCAAUGGGAAGAGCAGUGAGUUGGGAGUCAAGAACCUGGUCCAUCCCUAUGGAUUUUGGAGAAAUCAUGACCUCUCUGAACCUCAAUUCCUCAUGUGUGAAAUGAAGAACUUAAACCAGGUGCUUUCCAAAAUUUCUCCCAGUUAUGACACUCCACUGAAGUGAUUCUCAACUUUGGAUGCACAAUCAAAUCACCUGGGUAACUUUUUAAAAAUACCAACACUUGGGCCACACCUCAGGCCAAUUGAAUCAGAGUCUCUUGAGAUACAACCACACGAUAUUGGCAGUUUAAACACCUCCCCUGGUGAUUCUAAUGUGCCUUAUGGUCUAUAGAACCCAGGUGCAUUGAAGAACAGAGGCUGCACUCUCAUGCUAGCCUAAUCAGAGAUCUUAGAAACUGGUGACAAGGGUCAUGGUUGUAGGGUUGUAGGGAAGUGAUUUACGGGUAAAAAGACCAUGCCAGUGGACCCAAGAGUUCCAGAGUAGCCCCAGAACUUACAGAAAGGCAGCCUCUCAAAAGUGACUGAUGAGAAUGAAACUACGUUUCUAUGGACAAGUCUCCAAGCUGGUAACCACAUGGGGUCUCUUGGGACAGAGGAUCUGGCUCACUCUUCUUUCUCCUGGCAUUCCAGACCCUAAUGCCUAGUAUCUCCCCUCAUUUUUUGAAGAUGCUUCCCUCCAUAAACUCCUACCAGAGAACUGAGGUUCCGACUCCCUCCAGAUCCCAUUGGGGUACCACAUCUUUUGGGGAGCAGCUUAGGGAGGAGGAGCUCUUCCACCCAACGUCAGAGUCACAUCUUCCCCCUACAGAACUGAAUAAAUACAUUUAGCACCGCCUCCACCUUUUUUUCCCCCAAUUUAGUAUUGUUUAAUAUGCAUUUAAUCAGGCCAUUCGGUAUUACAGCGGCUAUGUAGCGUGACUCCCCCCAUGGGCGCGGGGGGAGGGCGUUAUAGGCCAUUAGGCUAAAGUAAUAUGUAUGAGGAGUCACUUUUCCCCAGGGCGCAGUAACUAUUUUUGCUCCCCAGUCGUCCCCAUUAAAUCAUUAAACCUCAUGACUAUACUUUCUGAACUCUACCAUGAUCUUUAAAAAGCCAAGCAUUAAAGGGCAGCUGUCACCCUCCACCGCCCAGGCCUCGGCCGCUUUAUGUAUUCACAGCAUUAAGUCUUUUGUCAGUCUAUACAUCAUUGGUGCGGGGGUGGGGGGAUGAAGGGGUGGUUACAGCGCUUGAGGAGUCGACAUCCAGCCCCCUAGCUUCCUUCUGGGGAGGGCCCUAGAGGUCUUGUGACGGGCCCCUUCCUGCGAGACGGCGGGUUAUGCAGAGCUGACCAGCAAGAGGGACGAGGGUGCUGGAGUCCGGGGACUGUCCGUGGUGCUGAAAUCCUGUCCCAGAGACGGACAUUAUCCUCUCUCCCCUUAACUAACCAAUGAUAGUUGGCUUUCUCAACUGGCAAGAGUCAUUUCAUAACCAAAUAUUUCCUGAAAAUCCCUAUUUUUUCCCUCUAUAGUGGGUAUGAUACUGCCCAAGGAAAGUUGUGGAGUAGCAGAAAGAUCUGUGGAUUAGGAUUAGAAAAGCUGCUAACUGGCACAAUCUGGAAUAAGUCUGAGCAUCAGUUUCUUCAGUGGAAAAUGGUGCUGAUAAUGCCAAUCACACAGGAUUGUCAGAUUUAAAUGAUGUUAUGUUUGUUAAAGUUAUUUACAAACCAUAAACACUG
rnacentral:lncRNA from 1 species